GAGGCCCCAGUGGACAUCCCGGGUCGGGGUGUGUCACCGUUUCUGGGAAAGUUUGUCGUGAAGCCAUCGCUGGCGAUAGGGUGGGAAAAAAGGAAGAUUCAAGUAGUUGAAACACCAGUUUGUUGUAAGUAACCUACCUUUUUUGAAUUGUAGAUAAUAUGGGUUUAGGUUUUCCGAUUUUUCAAUUUUGAAUUUUAAGGAUUAGGGAUUUGUGAGUUCCAAUCCCAUUUUGUUUUCUAUGGUUUCUGGAAUUGUGUUUUGUAAUGGGUUUCCUGCAUUGUUAAUUGUUUUCAAUAUGCAUGUGGUUUUGUCUUCAUUCGUGAUCCCAAUUCCAGCCUAUAAAAAACCAUGUAUUCAUGGUCCCCAUGGUUUUGUUUUCACCUUUUUUCCUUAUAGUCCUACUAGUGUUUUGGGUUAACUUUUUGGGUUUUAAAACCUUGUUCCUUGACUUUGCAGGCAUGCCUGAAUUAUGUAGCCUUAAAAUUAACCAUGGUGGGAAGUGGUCUGAAAAUGCAUAUAUGGGAGGAUUUGAGGCUUGGUUUAAUUACGUAGACAAAGACUUCAUGUCUUUUUUUCGAGAUUGAUGAAAUGGUUAAGGAGUUAAGAUAUGAUGGAUUUAUAUUGUAUCAAUAUAGGAUUCCUGGGAUGUCUUAUAGGGGGGGAUUAAGGCUUAUUGAAUGGAACCAAGAUGUGGGUGAAAUGUGCAAGUAUGUUCUAGGAACUAGGGAAAUAGAAAUGUUCUAGAACAUCUAAGUCCGAAGCAAGCUGCCUUGAAACAUAAGCCUUUGAUGAAUCUAGAUAAGAGUGGCAUAUUAAAAAAAGUUGUCAUGAUAGAAGAUAUUAAGGAAUCAAGGGUGGCCAUUUCGAUUACAAAGGGAAGUGGAUCAGAACUGAAGAAGGGUAGAGCAAAAGGGGGUGUUGAUCACUUAGAAAAAUGGCUAUGUCUAUUGAAUGACACAGCUUUCAGUGGUGAUGAUGAACAUGAGGCUGAAGCAACUGAGGGAGGACAAUGAAGUGGAGAUGAGGCUGAAGAUGGUCCUCUCAAUGCUGAUAAUAAAGAUGAUGAAGAUGAUGAAGGUGAUGCAAUUGAAGAAGGUCACGAAGCUGAUAGGAGCAUAUUUAUGCGACUGAGUUAGGUUGUUCUCAUACAUUUAUGUUGUUAUUUCUUAGUUAAUUAUGUAUUUUAAGCUAUUUUCGUGUGUUUAUAGGUCCAUAGGCCUUAUAAAGCAAUAAGAUGCAUUUUGGUACAUUUUGGAGCAGUUUUGGGCUUGGAAUGAAUAGCACAUGCAUGAAGCAAGGUGGAUGGACGAAAUUGAAGACUAAAGAGGCUAGGAAUGUGUUAAAGAGAAAGAAGAAUUAGUGUAAAAAGGACAAAGAGCUCAGCCACAAAGGGGUGUCACUCCACCAUUCACCUUUCCAUCAUUGCCGUGCACCACCAUUGCACUCUCUUUGGAUUCCUAUACCGUGCAUCAUCAUCCAUGUUCCUUCCAUUGACUCAUUUGUUGCAUCAUUCCACUUCCUUUCCUUUGUCUACCAUAUACACAAUAUCCUUUCACCUCUUUGCACUCAUUUAUUCACCACUUACUCACCUUUCCACCCAUGCCAUGCAUAAUCACCCUUGUCCCCUUCAUGCACCAGAUUUCUUGCACUCAUUUCAUGCACCAUUACACUCAUUACACUUCAUUGCCGUGCACCACCCUUGUCUCCUUCAUUAUUUCUGAUUUCAUGCAUCAAUACAUUGAAUCAUUACACUCAAUUGCUGCACACUCCUUGUUCCCUUCACCCAUCAGAUUUCAUACAACUUUUACCUCCACUACAUGCACUCAUUGAUGCACCAUCCACCACCUUUGGAAUCCCAUGCCAUGCAUCAUGACAUUUGCUGCACCUUUGACUCAUUUCUGCACCAUUCCACCUCCAUUUCCUUUCUAUACCAUGUGCACAAUCAUUCAUGUUCCCUAGCUGCAACACCACUCCAUUUUACCCCCCAUGCUUUGCAUCAUUACUUCAUUUUCACCCUUGAAUCAUUGCACAAACCACCAAUUCACCUUCCUUGUCGUGCACUUCCUCUAUAAAAGGAAGUGUGUGUGGCAGCCAUAGAGCUUAGUUUUUGCUUGAUCAUUCAUCCCCAUUUCAGUACAACCUUCAUCCAAACACAUCCAUUCAUCUUUACAUCCAUUCCUCUAUACAACAACCUUCAAACACUCACCAACACCUUGUGCCGUAGCAAAGGAAGGGAAGGAAAGUGCUUGGACGUGCUUGCUGUCCAACUUGGAUUGUUGGAGCAUUUAGGUGUUUUCUUUCUUUUGUUUCUAAUGUUUAAAUUCAUUUCCUUUCGUUUUGUUGUAAAUAUGAGUGGCUAAACCCCUCUUGGCUAGGGGUGAUUUCAAAGCCAUGAUUAUGUGUGCAAUAUAAUUUGAUAAAUUCCAGUUAUGAGCUCUUGAAUUGUGAAUGCAAUUGGCUUAACUAUUUGAUUGAUAAAUUAUUUGUAUUUGUUAAUUAAGGGUCGACACUUAAUUGGCAUGCAUAAAUCCGUUGCUAGAAUAUAAGGAAGUUUCACAUAAUCGUUACAAACUUAUAUUCACAUGUAAUGAAGGUCGCUUAUAAACGAUCGCGUUAAGUUCAAUUCCUAGCAUGAGUGACAUGUUAUCAUAGUUGCAAGUGCUUUGUCAAUGCUUAUGAUUUUCAUUAAACGUAAUGGUCUUUGAUUAUAUCUCUAUUAUGAUGUCAUGUAGGGAACUUUUGAAGAAUGUUUUGGGUUGUCGAAUGAUGUCAUCCAAUCCAAUAAAACAAGGAAAAUCUGAGAGUUAACUAGUGAUGUCACGGUUAAUUUGGAGCAUUGUCAUUCAUAAUUCAAUGAAGUAGUAACUAGAAAUCGAGUUGUUUGCAUACAUAUCAUGUGUGGAGAAAAAGCCUCUAGCUAUCCCAUCCAUCAUCUUAUUUCUCAAAUUUGUUUUACAAUCUGUCUAGGUUUUCAAACUUGUUUGUUUGUUUCAACUUUGUCCAAAACUCAAUCCCCCUUUACUUUAGAGUGUCUAAUUAGUUAGAAUCUGUUUUAAUUUGUGUUUUUAAAUGUUUUGAUUCAAGUAAAAGUCAAUUUUCGUCCAAAGUCAUUCCGAGUGUCUAGUUUAAGUUUGUUUAGUUGUUUUAAGCUGUUUUGAGUAUUUUAAGUUUGCUUUGAGUCUUGUGAGUCUUGUUCAGUAUUUUAAAGUUUAGUUUUAUGUUUUUGAGUCAAUUUAGAGGUUAUUAGCAAGCCCUCAUAAUCCCCGGUCCAAAACGAUCCCUACUUAUACUUAUACUACAGUUGUCAAAAGAGGGUUAAAUUUGUGUGUUAAGUUAAUUUUCGCAUCAGAAGCUAAAGAAGUUAAUGAAGGGGUUGAAGUAGAAGCUAAUGAAAGUUUAGGUUUUUGCAAUUUUAAUUUCAGUAUUCAAUUAUUUUUGCAAAGUUUAGGUUUUUCACAAAUAUGCAUUGUUUGUGGCAGUAAAUGCAAAGGAUGACAUUACAGAUAGUGAGUUUGUGGACAGUGACUACAGUUUGGAAGAUGAUGAUGGUCGUGUAUUAGAUGAUACGGUUGUAGAAAGUGUCAUUGGAGAUGUUGACAGGGGUGAAGGGGUUAGGAACCAACAUCCAGAAGAAGUUAUUAAUAAUGCAAGGGAUGUAGAAGAUGUUCCCGUUGAUGAUAAGAGACAAGACUCAGAUGACUUGCACAGUGUUGACGAUUCAAGUUCAAAAUGUGAUGAGAAGAUCAUGUACUCUGAGUUCAAUGAAGAAGCCUACAUGGACGAUCCAAAUUUUGAAAAGGGAUUGAAGUUCAAAGAUGUUGCACAGUUGAGAAAGGUAGUGUGGUCUCACUUCAUUAAGCAUGGUGCACCUUCUAUUAAGCUAAAAAGGAAUGAGAAAUGGAAGAUUAGAGCAAAGUGUGAGAAAAACUAUCCAUGAAGAUUGUAUGCUUCCAAGAUGUACAAUGAAGAUUCAAUGCAAGUGAAAACCUAUGUUAGGAAACAUGAAUGUACGAGGAUUUGGAGGGAAAAUCCUAACUACAAAGUGGCAUGGCUUGUGAAGAGGUAUGUGGACAGGUUUAGACUCAACCUAAGCAUGCCUAUCACUACAUUUAUGGAGAUAGUGAAGGAAGAAAUAAUGGUUGAGAUCCACCCCAAGACAGCCUACAGAGUGAGAGCACAAUAUUUGAAAAUCCUUGAGAGGAGUAACGUGGAUCAGUACAAAAAGUUGUGGGAGUACUGUGAUGAGCUGAGGAGGAUAAACCUAGGUAGUACAGUUCAGAUGAAGGUGCUGCCCUAUGAUGAUGCUCAUGUGAUAUUUUAGAGGAUUUAUAUUUGUUUGGGGGCUUGCAAAAAUGGAUUUAAAAAUGGAUGUAGGUAGCUUGUAGGGUUGAAUGGUUGUCACUUGAAAGGAGUGUUCAAGAGCAAGUUACUGUCUGCAGUGAGAAUGGAUGCAAAUAACCAAACUUGGGCAGUUGGGUUUGGUUUAUAAAACUACUAGCUGAUGAUUUGGGAAUUGUGAACCAGCGUACUUAGACUUUCAUUUCUGACAAACAAAAGGGCUUAAUACUAGCCUUUGAAAAGGUGCUACCUAAUUGUAAUCAUCGGUUCUUUGUUAGGCACUUAUACACCAACUAUAAGGCAUAUGGGUUUAAAGGGAAAGGAUUAAAGGAUGCUUUAUAUAAUGUUGCCAAGGCAAUAACCAUCGCUGAUUUUAGAGAGAGUGGUUGAGGUGAAUAGGUUGUGAAGGAAAUUUUGUGAAAAACAUGUUCAUUUGAGGAACAUCUAUGGCAUGCAAUUAGCAUUUAAAGGCGGAAUCAUGCUUGUAUGCACUCAAAAAUAAAACAUUACCCAUGAAAUUCAAAGCCUAGUAGAAAGGUGAACCAAGACUCAACUCAAGAACAAAGUAAGUUGAGAGGUUUUAUACCUUUGUUGAUACCUCUUUGCAUAAGCAAAGGCUAAUCACCCAAGGAGAGGGCCUUCAUUCCUUGCUUCUUAGAUCCAUGGAUUUCUUGGAUGAGGAUGGUUGAAAGGAUUCUCCAAGUUCCCAAAGUUGAGAACCUCUAAUGUUUCCACACCAAGGAUGGACUUGAAGAAGAGAUAAGUGACCUUGGAGGAGGAAAGAUUGCUAGCUAAUCUCCUUAAAGGGGCCGGCCUUCUAGAGAGAAAGGGAGAGACAUGUGCUCUCCAAUUUUCUCCAAAAGAAAACCCUAAGGAUGAAAUGUCUAAAAAGUUGCCUUUAUACCACCUCACAAUGGAGUGGCAAACUUGCAAUUAAGCCAAGUUCACUACCCCUCUCUAUAUGGCCGGCCAUUAAGGGUUCAUCGGGCUUUCAUGCCCUUUGUGUUUUCAAAUUGUCAUAUGAUAGGAGCAUAUUUAUGCAACUUAGUUAGCUUGUUUCUUGGCAUUUACUUAAUUUAAUUCUAGUUAUUUUAGUACUUUAAGAUAUUUUCGUGUGUUUGUAGGUUCAAAUAACAAAGUUAGCAACAAAGUGCUAUUUGGAGCAUUUUGGAGCAUUUUUGGGCCAAGAUUGGAUAAUGCAAGCAUGGAGACAUGAGGGUGGACGUUUUUGAAGAUUUGAAGGCUAAAAAUCAGCAUGUGUGUGUACAAGUGUGUUGACCUACAACUCCAAACAUCCAUCCACUACACCCAUUAUAUCCACUCAUUACCACAACACUCACCCACUACACCCAUUACAUCCACUCAUUACCAAACACUCAUCCACUACACCCAUUACAUCCACUCAUUACCAAACAUCCACCCACUACACCCAUUACAUCCACUCAUUACCACAACACUCACCCACUACACCCCAUUACAUCCAUUCAUUACCAAACACUCAUCCACUACACCCAUUACAUCAACUCAUUACCAAACACUCAUCCACUACACCCAUUACAUCCACUCACUACCAAACAUCCACCCACUACACCCAUUACAUCCACUCAUUACCACAACACUCACCCACUACACCCAUUACAUCCACUCAUUACAACUCCAUACACUCAUCUCCCUAGCCUAUAAAUACAUCCACCCUUCACCAUAAUUUGGGGGAGAAAACCAAGGAGAACAUAAUCCACCCAUCCACCCUUCACCAUAACAACCAAGGAGAACAUAAUCCACCCAUCUACCCUUCACCAUAACUCACCUAUAUCCAUCCCCCACCAUAAUUUACCACUCAUCCAUCAAACCACACCCAGUGCCGCAACAAAGAGAAGAAGGAAGACCCUUGGACGUGCUUGCCAUUCAAGUUGGAUUGUUGGAGCGUUUUUAGGUGUUUUCUUUCUUUUGUUUUCAAUGUCUAAAUUUGUUUAUCUUUACUUUGUAAGUAUGACAAACUAAACCCCCCUUAGCUAGGGGGGAAUUCAAAACCAUGUUCAUGCUUGCAAUAUGAUUUGAUUACUUUCAGUUGUGAUUCAUAAGUUGUGAAUUCAAUUUACUUAUCCAUUUGAAUUAAAACUGAUUUGUGUAUGUUGGUUAAGAGUGCACGCUUAAUUUCCAUGCAUAAAUAUGCUGCUAGGAUAUAAGGGAGUUUCACCUAAUCGUUAUGAACUUAUAUUCACAAGUAGUAAAGGGUGUUCGUCACAACCGUGUUAAGUAAAUUCUUGGCAUAAGUUUCAUGCAAUUCAUAGUUACAAGUGUUUCGUCAAUGCUUAUGAUUUUCAUAGAACUUAAUGAUUCUUGCUUGUAUCUCUAUUAUGCAAUUCAUGUAGGGAACUUGUGGGGAAUGCUUUGGGUUGUUGUAUGCAAUCAUCCAAUUCAAUGAAAUUAGGAAAAUCUGAGGAUUAAUUUAAGCGUACCUGAUUAAUCUGGGGUGUUGAGGUUCAUGGUUUAUUGAAAAGCAACUGGAAAUCGUUUUAUAUGCAAGUGUGUCAUGUGGGGAGAAAGACCCUCUAGCUAGCCCAUUAUCCAUAGUUUAACCCAUCACCAAUCAAUUCACCUAAAGUUGUCUAAGAAUCUGUUUAAAUUAUUCUUGCUUUGUUUUCUUUAUUUUCGUCCAAAACCAAAAUCCCCUUAUUUUAUUAAAGUCAUAUUAGUUAGUACUUGUUUUAGAUUGUGUUUUUAAGUGUUUUAAGUCAAGAUAAAAUCAAUUUUUGUCCAAACUUAGUGUUAGUGGUAGAAAUUGCCUUAGAGUUGUUUUUAGUCAAGAGGGAGCCUUCACAAAGGCUGCUUAGGAGAAGUCUCAGUAGUCAGCGGAGCCUCAGCAGUCAACGGGGCCACAGAAGGAGGAGGUAUCGAAGGUUGAUCAUUUGGAGCUUCACUACGCGGUACAGCCCCAAAAGACGAAGGCAAAUGCUGUUGGAACAAACCCAUAAACCUCCGAUGAUCAAGUAAAAUCUGACCAUCAGAUUCCUGCAUCUGGUCAGUUUUCCUCUUCAUGUUUGUGGCAUAGUUGUGUGCGAGCUUGUGCAACUGUUUAUUCUCAUGCUUGAGCCCUCUAAUCUCCUGUUUGAGACUCAUCACUUCAGCCGCCAACGAUUUAACUUGACGGGUUCGAGCAAAUAGGCGUUGGGCCAUGUUGGACACAGAACCCGCACAUUGCACACUAAGAGCCAGAGACUCCUUAACAGCCAACUCAUCAGACCGUUUUGAAAGUAGUCUGUUAUCUUUAGAAGUGACAAGGUUCCUAGCCACCACCGCAGCUGUCAUAUCAUUCUUCAUCACCGAAUCCCCAACUGUAAGGGGACCAGUAGGGGAUAUGAAGGAUGGGCGCCAUAUGUUGUCUGGAGAAGGCGGGACUGCCUCUUCACCAAGGUUCAAGUCAAAACGACGGUCGGAGGGGCCAGACAUUUUCAGAGGUGUUAAAGAAAGAAGAGGUCGGAAACUCAAGAUCGUAGAAGUGCAAGAAGGGAGUUUUUACAGGCAGAAAUUCAAGUGUGCUUAGAACGUCCUGCGUACCUCUAUAAAAAACAGCACGCGAUGGGAUUUCAGAGAUCGAAAAGGCGAGCUCAGAAAUCGAAGAGGCCAACUCAAAAAUCAAAGAGGCGUUAGCUUUCUCAAAAGCUGGGCUUGCUUAGAAACCACGACCAGUCUUCUUUUCCAGAUUUGUCCGCACUUGUCACAUGCAACCUCUGCACUCAACGGGAUUUCAGAGAUCGAAGAGGCAAUUCCAGAUAUCGGAGAGGCAUCUGUUUUUCCAGACAUGUCAGCAUCUGUCACAUGCAAAGUAAGCUUUGCGAAAAUCACGGGCAGUUUGUCGAAGCACCGAUUCUAACCAUCUACUUUUCCAGACGUGUCAACAUCUAUCACAUGCAGAGUCAGCUUUACGGAAAUCACGGGCAGUUUGUCGAAACGCCGAUUCCAGAUAUCGAAGAGGCACUUGCUUUUCCAGACGUGUCAGCGCCUAUCACAUGCACACUCAGCUUUACGGAAAUCACGGGCAAUCUGUCGACGAUUUCUGGUGAAGUAGAAAGCAUGUGAAGUUUACUGUUCAAUCAUCCAAUGGUUGCCGAGAGGAGUGAAAGAACAGUACCGGUUAUUAUUUCCUAUAAAUGUCGACCUUCACUAUAUAGUUUACAAUAAACUUAGUGAACCAUUUGGAUAGGGACACAAAAGUGAAGUCCUUGCCUAGUUUCCAUCUCUAGAAGUGGUUUAACACUUCAACACUCAAUGAUUCAAAAUCAUCAUAAGUCCAUGUUGAUGAACUAUUUUUGUCAACCAACCAUUAUGUUCUAAACACAAUUACAAACUUUCAAGAGUUGUUCAAGGCAACUCUCAUUUCUUCAUACAACAAUUUGUAAGUGAAGAAUCAUGGCACAUAAAGUGUCCAUGCCCUUGUGCUUACUUCUCAAGUUCCUUGUUCAUGUAACAAAGAAACGAGCACUAAUGUUUGCGUUAACUAAGGGUUGUUCAAAGCAACUCUUACUUCUAUUAUGACAUUAAAAGUGUUGUCCUCUUUAUGAUAGACUUAUCUAACAUGUUCUUCCAAUGAUACAUUAUCAAUAGGAAGAUUGUGAGGAUGAGACUACUUAGGUACAUAUACAAGCCAUUAUAGACAAUCUAUGGGAUUGUAGUACCAAGUCCGGAAACUAAAGCUUUCGGCUUUUUCUUUGUCAAGUUUUGGAUAGCGUUUGCAAAUAUAUUGGUAAAUAAAUACAUAACGAAUAUAAAUUGAUUGAUUUUAAGCCAUUUGAUUCGGGUCUUUAAAUCAAAUAGCACCACCCACUAUUUUUGGCAAAUUCCAUAUCCCUCAUCGGAAUUCGAGAGUUUUGGAGGAAACUCUUAGUAGGGUAUGGGAGACUCAUCAUUACCAAGCCCACCUCACAAUGAUAUGAUGUUGGCUAGCAUCAAUAAUAAUGAGAGAGUACGCUUACUCAUUUGCAAUCUCUUGCAAGUACCCAUCUUAUUUGGCCUCUAGAGAAUGAAGCCUCACAAUGAUAUGAUGUUGGCUCCAUUGCACUUAGUUAAGUCAUUCCCACCAUGCAAGUUUGAGUAAGGGGUUCAAGAACAAGCCUCACAAUGAUAUGAUGUUGAUCAUUCUCGUUGCCUACCUUCACAACAUCAUGUAUGCAUAUAGAACUCCUCCUGAGUGUAAGCACGCACUUUGUACUCCCCCAUGAUAGGGUGAAGUCGGUGUACGAGUCACAAACGAUUCGGAGCCUACCACGGUGGAAGGCCACGAAAGAGUGUUCAAAGCACUCUCACGCUUAUCAACUUAAUAAUGGUUUGGUUGAGGGUUUUAGGUCUCAUCACAUAUAAACAUACAUUUUAAUCUAUUAAAACAAUUUUGGUCCUAUUACAACUAUUGGUCCAUGUGAUUGAUUUAGUUGUAUAUAAUACUCCCACUAUGCUUGUAAAACGGUUUUUAAAGCAAGAGUAUAUGGAUACUACUAACAUAAGGUUUGCAUUCAUUUGAUGGACUAUAUAGUUGCCUUAGGGCCUUAGGAUGACUAUGAACCUUUGAUUAGAUUCCAACACGAGCCUUAGUGUUGAAUCUCGGUCUAGGGAUGGUGAUUGAUUUUAGUUACGCGUUUAAUCACAUUAAGGCGUGUUUUGUCUUAGGGGCGUUGGACCCAACUACUUCCAUUUUCAUGCAUAUCAAAUAAAAGCAAGAAAGAAGUACUUCAAAGUAAAAGAAGAGCUUAUGCUCUUUUACAACAUUUGCAUCAAAACAAAUUACUUUAAAGUAAAGAAGAGCUUAUGCUCCUUUUACAACAUUUGAUCAAAUCAAAUUACAACCAAAAUCUAAUCUACACAUUCCCAUGGUUCAAACAAAUUUGAAACGGCCUUUCACAUAGCUCAAUUAUCGUAGGCUUAGGUUCAUAAUCACCCCUUUAAUUAAUUAACACUUUAACUAAUUAAAUUGAAUGCAACAUUUUCAUUUGGUUUUUGUAUCCAUAAGAAUUGAUUUAAAUGGAGCUAAAUGAAAUGAAAAUCCAAUUCUCAUUUAAAGAGACAAAACAAUUUUGUUCUCAAACUAAUUUGGGCCAAAUGCAAUAACCUCAACUUUUUGGGCUAUAUUGCAAAACACAAACUUUUGGGGUCACUUUGUAAAAACACAAAAGUCCACUACUUCAUGUAAUUACAACUAGAACCCAAAAAUUUCAAUCAAAUGCAAAAACUUCAUUAAAGGAGCAAAACAAUUUGUCCUUUAGCGUUUUUGGCCUUAAACGUAAAAACGUAAACUUUUGGGUCAAAGUACAAAUACACAAAAGUAUCAAAACUUUAUGUAAUUGCAUAAAAGCCCCAAAAGUACCCUUACAUGUAGGGUGGCCGGUUUUGGUAGUGUGAGGAGUGGUUUUUUGAUAAAAAACAAAGUCAUAAAGUCAUGCAAGUUGAAAAGAUGGGUGAUGGGUUGGUGUGAAAAAGUAGGUAUUAGGUGUGUAAGAAAAAAAGUACCAAUCAUGUACAAAAAAAUUCAAACACUCUAUCAACAUUUCAAUCACCUUUUCAAAUAAAUGUCUUGUUUAUAGAAAAGUCACACCAAACCAACACAAAACAAAGACUUUAUGAAAUCAAUCAAAACUUUGAAUCAAAAACACCAAACUUUUUGUUCUUGGCAAGAAACAUCAAGAACAAUGAAGAACACACAUGAAAACUCAUAAGAGCUUCCAUGAACAUUUUUCACCAAUAAAAUUUCAAAAUUUCACUACUCAAAAGGGGUUAACAUCCUAGGGUACUUAGGGGUUCCAAAAGUCACCUUUAAAACACUUUUAACAAGACAAACAAGAACCCAAAAAUCCACCCUUUGGAUUUGGCCGAAUUUCCCCAAAACAUGGCACCAAAUUUUAGCUCCAAUAUUCAUGCUCAUAUGAACUACAUCUACAACAUUUGAGAUGGCAAAUUUUCUAACAAAAAUUUACAUUCAAAGAAGCAAGAAUAAAGCUUGUAACAAUUACAACUUUUAAAUCAUAAACUAUGAAAUUACAAAACCCAAAAGGAUUCACCAACUACUAGACCUAGGCUCUAAUACCACUUGAAGGAAAUUUUGUGAAAAACAUGUUCAUUUUGAGCAACAUCUAUGGCAUGCAAUUAAAGGCGGAAUCAUGCUUGUAUGCACUCAAAAACAAAACAUUACCCAUGAAAUUCAAAGCCUAGUAGAAUUGGUGAACCAAGACUCAACUCAAAACAAAGUGAGUCGAGAGGUUUUAUACCUUUGUUGAUUCCUCUUUGCAUAAGCAAAGGCUAAUCACCCAAG
rnacentral:lncRNA from 1 species